CCUACGGGGGGCUGCAGUGGGGAAUAUUGGACAAUGGGGGGAACCCUGAUCCAGCCAUGCCGCGUGUGUGAAGAAGGCCCUCGGGUUGUAAAGCACUUUCAGUGAGGAAGAACGCCUGGUGGUUAAUACCCAUCAGGAAAGACAUCACUCACAGAAGAAGCACCGGCUAACUCCGUGCCAGCAGCCGCGGUAAUACGGAGGGUGCGAGCGUUAAUCGGAAUUACUGGGCGUAAAGCGCGCGUAGGUGGCUUGAUAAGCCGGUUGUGAAAGCCCCGGGCUCAACCUGGGAACGGCAUCCGGAACUGUCAAGCUAGAGUGCAGGAGAGGAAGGUAGAAUUCCCGGUGUAGCGGUGAAAUGCGUAGAGAUCGGGAGGAAGACCAGUGGCGAAGGCGGCCUUCUGGACUGACACUGACACUGAGGUGCGAAAGCGUGGGUAGCAAACAGGAUUAGAUACCCUUGUAGUC
rnacentral:rRNA from 1 species